rnacentral:rRNA from 1 species
GGGGCCUGCGGAAGGAUCAUUACCGAGUGCGGGUCCUUUGGGCCCAACCUCCCAUCCGUGUCUAUUGUACCCUGUUGCUUCGGCGGGCCCGCCGCUUGUCGGCCGCCGGGGGGGCGCCUCUGCCCCCCGGGCCCGUGCCCGCCGGAGACCCCAACACGAACACUGUCUGAAAGCGUGCAGUCUGAGUUGAUUGAAUGCAAUCAGUUAAAACUUUCAACAAUGGAUCUCUUGGUUCCGGCAUCGAUGAAGAACGCAGCGAAAUGCGAUAACUAAUGUGAAUUGCAGAAUUCAGUGAAUCAUCGAGUCUUUGAACGCACAUUGCGCCCCCUGGUAUUCCGGGGGGCAUGCCUGUCCGAGCGUCAUUGCUGCCCUCAAGCCCGGCUUGUGUGUUGGGUCGCCGUCCCCCUCUCCGGGGGGACGGGCCCGAAAGGCAGCGGCGGCACCGCGUCCGAUCCUCGAGCGUAUGGGGCUUUGUCACAUGCUCUGUAGGAUUGGCCGGCGCCUGCCGACGUUUUCCAACCAUUCUUUCCAGGUUGACCUCGGAUCAGGUAGGGAUACCCGCUGAACUUAAGCAUAUCAAUAAAGCGGGAGGAACAUUACCGAGUGCGGGUCCUUUGGGCCCACCUCCAUCGUGUCUAUAGUACCUGUUUGCUUCGGCGGGCCGCGCUAGAUCGUCGCCCGGUGGGGCGCCUCUGCCCCCGGGCCCGAUGCCGCCGGAGACCCUACACGAACACUGUCUUCAAAGCUUGCAGCUCGGAGCUUGUAUUGAAAUGCAAAUCAGCUUAAAAACUUUUCAACAAAUGGGAAUCUCUUUGCGCUUCCCGCCAUCUGAUAAAAAAAAACGCACGCUGGAUAUGUCCAAUCAACUCAAGCGGUGUAAAUUGGCAAUAAAUAUCCGGUGCAAAUCAUUCGCAGGUCUUUUUUAAACGCCACAUUUGCGCCGGACA